rnacentral:tRNA from 1 species
AAGCCGCACGGGCUGCGGCGGGAUCUCUUCCAUGCCAGCGGGCGUCGGUGGUGCGAGCGUCAACGACGGCAGGUUCAGCGCCGGCGCGGCCUG